GAUGAACGCUAGCUACAGGCUUAACACAUGCAAGUCGAGGGGCAGCAUGAACAAAGCUUGCUUUGUUUGAUGGCGACCGGCGCACGGGUGAGUAACACGUAUCCAACCUGCCCAUAACUCAGGGAUAGCCUUUCGAAAGAAAGAUUAAUACUUGAUAGUAUAUUUUAGCCGCAUGGUUUUAGUAUUAAAGAUUUAUUGGUUAUGGAUGGGGAUGCGUUCCAUUAGGUAGUAGGUGAGGUAACGGCUCACCUAGCCAUCGAUGGAUAGGGGUUCUGAGAGGAAGGUCCCCCACAUGGGAACUGAGACACGGUCCAAACUCCUACGGGAGGCAGCAGUGCGGAAUAUUGGUCAAUGGCCGGAAGGCUGAACCAGCCAAGUAGCGUGAAGGAUGACUGCCCUAUGGGUUGUAAACUUCUUUUAUAUGGGAAUAAAAGACAUUACGUGUAGUGUUUUGUAUGUACCUUAUGAAUAAGCAUCGGCUAAUUCCGUGCCAGCAGCCGCCGUAAAAC
rnacentral:rRNA from 1 species